rnacentral:rRNA from 1 species
UACAGAGGUCUCGAGCGUUGUUCGGAUUCAUUGGGCGUAAAGGGCGCGUAGGCGGCGGGGUAAGUCUGGUGUGAAAUCUAGGAGCUCAACUCCUAAACUGCACUGGAUACUGCUCUGCUAGAGGACUGGAGAGGAGACUGGAAUUCACGGUGUAGCAGUGAAAUGCGUAGAUAUCGUGAGGAAGACCAGUGGCGAAGGCGGGUCUCUGGACAGUUCCUGACGCUGAGGCGCGAAAGCUAGGGGAGCAAACAGG